rnacentral:rRNA from 1 species
AUUGAACGCUGGCGGCAGGCCUAACACAUGCAAGUCGAACGGUAGCACAGAGAGCUCGCCCUCGGGUGACGAGUGGCGGACGGGUGAGUAAUGUCUGGGAAACUGCCCGAUGGAGGGGGAUAACUACUGGAAACGGUAGCUAAUACCGCAUAACGUCGCAAGACCAAAGUGGGGGACCUUCGGGCCUCACCCCAUCGGCUGUGCCCAGAUGGGAUUAGAUAGUAGGUGGGGUAAUGGCUCACCUAGGCGACGAUCCCUAGCUGGUCUGAGAGGAUGACCAGCCACACUGGAACUGAGACACGGUCCAGACUCCUACGGGAGGCAGCAGUGGGGAAUAUUGCACAAUGGGCGCAAGCCUGAUGCAGCCAUGCCGCGUGUAUGAAGAAGGCCUUCGGGUUGUAAAGUACUUUCAGCGGGGAGGAAGGCGGUGAAGUUAAUAACUUCACCGAUUGACGUUACCCGCAGAAGAAGCACCGGCUAACUCCGUGCCAGCCGCCGCGGUAA